AGCACCUACAUGCUUGUCUUGAUGUCACACACACCAAUGACUCGAGACUAGUCACUCUCCUUGAGAGAAGACACAGCAUGUACUGAUCUUAACGGACUGUCAAUGCCCAAUUGGCAAUCCUAUGAUAAGGAACGUUUAGGAUGUGUCUACGAAAGAAUGGUCUCAUGAAUCUAACUUCUUUAGGUCGCAUUCUCCCAAUCACAUAUUCCUUGGACUUAUCGUUUAAGCGUAUAACAUUUAUAUGAGAUGGCUCAAACAAUAAUCUUUGCCCUUGAUAUUAAACUAGAUUAGUUUAACAUGUGAAAUGUCCGUAAAGUAUCAUCAUAUGAUUGGUUUUAGGGCACAUUUCCAACAAUCUCCCACUUGCACUAGAGCCAAUCAGCUUGGUCAUCAGUGAUGAUACCUCUUCUGUAGUCAUUUCAUAAAUGGCUGAGUAGUAGGCCUAGACAAUGGAUAUUUAUAUGUUAUCCAUAGAAGCAACCUUGAGAAUAACGACGUCACCAUUAUACAUGAUUCUUAAUCAUGUGGUUCAGUCUCUCAUUUGAGUUCGGAUCUUGAUGAGACCUUGAUUCCCUGGCUUGAGCUAUCGCCCCAUUAGUGUCGUAGUGUUGGUACACUAGAGACACUUUCUGGUUGGAACCGAAUAGAGAGUUCAUAAAUGAACUUUCCCAUCCAAACAACAUUGUUGUAAGCUUCUAUAUAGCAAUAUAUUUUGCAUUCACAAUGGAACACUCUAAAGUCAUUACUUUUAAUGUUUCCAUCCAAAUAUCUCUUUUAGUCAUAAUAAAGAGAUAUGAUUAUCUCUUCAUUCAUAAUGAAGAAAUAUCCAAUGAUGGAUUAGAUUCAUAAUCUUAUACAUUUACGCUUCCAUUACGUUACUAUAAUUCUUCCUUAUUGUUUGAGGAAUCUAUCCUUUUAGUAUUUCUUAAAUACUUAAGGACUCACUUAACAGUUGUCGUGGUUCUGAUCCUGGGCUUGCACUGAUAUCGUCUUGUACCGUUCUAGGUACAACUCAUAUCAAUGUUUUUCAUACAAUAUGAAAUACAUAAAUCACUUUUCUACGUAUGCAUAAAGGAUUCUAUUUACGCAUUAUUUCUUUCGGAGUCAAAGAGUACGUUCUCUUUGAGAAGAGCAACUUCUUAGUCUCACUAGAGUUGUCCUUUUUUAUUGAAGUUCAUCAUCAUAUGAGAAACUUCCUAUCAUCUAUUGUCUAUUAUUAGGGAUUGAUAUAAUCAAAUUAUAUCUUGAAAUCUAUCAUUAUAGAUUUACUUCCCAUGUUUAUAGACUAUGUCUCCCAUAUACAUUAUAUCUUCAUAUAAUGUUUUAAAGUCAUAACUUUAACGAAGAAGUAUUCUUUUCAUUUCCAAAAUUAAUAUAUCAUAUAUUUGUUAUAUAUAUAUAUAUAUAUAUUCAAAUUUAGGAACAUGAUUAACUCCCACUAAUCUUUUGUAAACCUAAUAAACAAAAGAUUCAUUUACAUCUUUAUGAGAAAUCAAACAAUUUGAUCUUUCUCUCAUAAGACGCUUAUAGCUCCCACUAGCUUGCUAAGAUCCAUGAUGGUUGGAUCUCUACAACUUACAUGUCUUGUGAUUCAUAGUUUUAGACAUAUAUUAUCAAGACUAUCUUAAUAAUGGUUUCGGAAACCCAUAUUAUGUCCAAACAUUGAAUCACCAUUUAGUUGUAGCUAGCAAUCUUCGAAUUAAUUGAAACUAAGACUACGUCAAAGAUGGUUUCUUCAAAGUCAAACAAUCUCUUUGAUUGUAGUCACCUUAAGCUACUAAUUAGCUAUAAAGGUUUCAUUAUUUCGAGUCAAAUGGUACUUUACCAUUUUCUUGAGUAUAUAUCGUAUAUACACUCAAUGUAGUCAUAAGGAUUUUUCAUUCUUAUUUCUUUCGAAUUAAGAGGUGCAACUCUAUGACAUAGUCAUAAAGUUCAAACCAUUCAAC
rnacentral:lncRNA from 1 species